rnacentral:rRNA from 1 species
AAACCGUUCAGGGGUAAACCCAAGAAACCCAAAAGUUCGAAAGGGGAGAUUCAUCGUCGACGACUGCCGGCUCCCGGUGGCGCGCGAUGUCCCUCGUCCUCGUGGCGAGCGGGCACGCCGCUUCGGCGAACGUUCCGGCGUCGCGGUCGUGCACUUCUCCCUUAGUAGGACGUCGCGACCCGUUGCGUGUCGGCCUGAGGCCCGUUGCGGUAGCUUGCCGCCGUUAGUGGCGCAACCCUUCGGAGGCCCGGCUGACUGCGCGACGGUAGUUGAAGACGGUAUAAGGCCGCAAAAAGAAAUUAUUUUUUUUUUUGCGUCCCGGCCCGCCGCAAGCUCGACCAUUCGAAUUACCCGGGUGCACGGACUCUGCGCCGUCCCUGGGCCUGGUUAGCUGUUAGCAGGCGGUGUCCUCGGACCGGCCGACAUACCUGUCAGCGACGCUAUUGCUUUGGGUACUCUCGGGACCCGUCUUGAAACACGGACCAAGGAGUCUAACAUGUACGCGAGUCAUUGGGAUUUUUGAAACCUAAAGGCGAAAUGAAAGUAAAAGUCGACCUUCGCGUCGACCGAGGGAAGAUGGGCCGCGUAUCUAUGCGGCUCCGCACUCCCGGGGCGUUUCGUUCUCAUCGCGAGAGGAGGCGCACCUUGAGCGUACACGUU